rnacentral:lncRNA from 1 species
UUUAUUUUUUUCUUUUUAAUUUUAUUUUGUUUGAAGCAUGUUCAUGAUUAAAUCUGUAUGCUGGCUUAUUUGAGUGACUGCUCUCUGCGAUUUCCUCAGUCCUAGUUCUUCCUCUUCUUCUUCUUCUUUUUUUUUUUUCUUUUCUUUUUUCUUCCCUUUCCUUCCUUUUUUUUUGGUUUAGAGAAGCCCUUUCAAUAUUUCCUUGAACCUGGGUUUUGUGUUGCUGUAUUCCUUAAGUUUUUGUUUGUUGGGAAAAAUUUUUAUUUCCCCUUCUAUUUUAAAUGAUAUUCUUGCUGGAUAAAGAAUUCUAGGUUGCAUAUUGUUUCCUUUUAGCACUUUAAAUAUCUCUUGCCAUUCCCUCCUGGCCUGUAGUGUUUCUGUAGAGAAAUCAGCUGAUAACCUUAUGGGGGUUCCCUUGUAGGUAACAUUCUGUUUUUCUCUUGCUGCCUUUAGGAUGCUCUCUUUAUCACUAACUUUUGCCAUUUUUAUUAUGAUGUGUCUUGGUGUGGGUCUUUGUGUUCAGUUUGUUUGGGGCUCUCUGUGCUUCUUGUAUCUUGAAUUCAGUAUCCUUUAGAUUUGGGAAGUUUCCAUCGAUAAUUUCUUCAAAUAUAUUUUCCAUCCCCUUAUCUUUUUCUACUCCUUCUGGAAUUCCUAUUAUGCGUAGAUUGGCCCGCUUUAUAUUAUCCCAUAGGUCUCUUAUAUUGCUUUCCUGUUUUUUGAUUCGGUAUUCUGUCUGUUGACUGGAUUGAGUGAUUUCCAUUAUUCCAUCUUCCAUAUCACUGAUUCGUUCUUCUGCAUUAUUCAUUCUGGUUUUCACUGCCCCUAGUUCAGUUUGCAUCUCUGCAAAUGAAUGUUCUAGUUUUUCUUGGCUCCUCCUUAUAUUUUCUAGCUCCUUUCUGAGGGUAUCUGCAUUACUGUUCCUAUCUUCUCUUCAUUCCUUCAGUAUUUUCACUAUUUCUCUUUUGAACUCCAGGUCUGUCAGACUGCAGAGAUCUGUUUCAUUGUUGACUGUGUUAGGUGAGUUCUCCUGUUGGUUUGACUGGGGGUGGUUUCUCAGCUUCUUCAUCUUGCUUGUUGUUUUCUUUCUCCUGAGGGAGUUGUACUCUCUGUGAUCGGGUAGUGUUUGCCUUGUCACUGCCGUGCAAUAUUUCCUGAGGGCUGGCAUUGUUGGUCAAUCUUUUUUGAGGCAGUGUGGCUUUUCUGGAGUGUUGGUGGGGCUAACAGUGUUUCUUUGAAGCAAAGGAGGACUUCCUGAGGGCAGACAGGACUGGGAGGUCCACACCACAAUGGUAGCAGAUUUCACUUGGUCAUGCAGAGCUUGCUCUGGUGUUUUUAGGCUGUGGGGUUCUUGCAGGGGGUUGGCGGUGUUGGGCAGCUGCUCUUCAGGGGUGCAUCACCCCCUGGGGGCUGGAGCAGCUAUCUGGGUCACUGAGAACCUAAGAGGCUCUUCCCUAGGGCAGCCCAACUCAGAAGGACAGCCUGAGAAUGUAGGCGGAUCUUUUCACAGUCUGGCCGAGCUUGUUGCAGCUUUUCUGGGCUGCAGGGGCUCUUCCAGGGGGCUGGUGGUGCUGAGCAGUUAUUUCAAGUGAGUGGGGCACCCCCUGGGGGCUUGGGCGGGUAGCAGGGCCCUUGGAGACCAAAGAGGCUCCUCCCCAUGGCAGCCCAACUCAGAAAAACCGUCUGAGAUCCUUUCUCGACUUGGCCAGGCUUGUUGCAGCUUUUCUGGGCUGCAGGGGGUCCUGCCUGGAGCUGGCAGUCCUAUGCAGCUGGUCCACUAGGUCUCAGCACCCCCUGGGGGCUUGAGCACGUAGCAGGGCCCUUGGAGACCCAAGAGGCUCCUCCCCAGGGCAGCCCGACUCAGAAAAACCAUCGGAGAAUUAGGCCGAUCUAUUCAUGGCCUGGCUAGUCUUGUUCUAGCUUUUCUGGGCUGCAGGCCUUUUCUCGGGGGCUGGUGGUGUUUGGUGCUGCUCUGCGAAAGUGUAGCCCCUCCAAAGGGCAAGCAGGCCUGUGCAGGGACAGCCCCUGCAGUGGUAGGCUUCAAGCAAUUGUUGAGGCCAGCCCUCCUGGAUGGCAGGCAGCCCCAGGUUUGGCGAGAGCGUAGUGGGUGGUGGGUGUGGGGGAGGGAAUGCCCUGGGAAGCACAGCUUUCUGCUAGCUAGCGGGCCUGUAAACUUGCUGUGGCAUGGGUGGUAUUCUAUGGGGACCCACCCCUUCUUCUCUCCCCUCCCCAGCAUGGGCGCAGACCAGGCUCUUCUCCCAGGUUCCCUCUGAGGCGGCUUUCCACUUCCCCGUCCCUAGAGUAUUGUUCCCUUCCUCUGCAACAGCUUUGUUUUCUAGUCUCCCAGGAAGUCUCUGCCCUGUCAAAUGGUUUAGAGACCUCCCAAGCAGUUUCCGCUCUGCCCCGCCCCCCAGCCCGGGGACUAAUCUCUGGAGCCGAGGUCUCGGUGCCCAGCCCCCACCCAGGCGUCCCCCGGCCCUUUCUCAGGGAUUAACCUUCAGAGGCGAGGUCUUGGUGCCCAGCCCCCACCCAGGCAUCCCCCGGCCCUUUCCUGGGGACUAACCUCUGGAGCCGAGGUUUCGGUGCCCAGCCCCCACCCUGGUGUCUCAAUUUUUGGUGACUGUGCCCGUAGUUCAGAUGGUCCGUUGGGUCUUGAUCGGUUUUUCUGUACUCCGACUUACUGCUACACUCUUCUCUGCAUCUGGGGAUUCCUCCAGUUCGUUUGAUCUUUCCCCGGAGUAGGUGACUUUCCAGAGUGUGGGAUCCCUUUCUCCUCUGCAGUUCCCUUUCGGGAGUGCCCAUCCCACUCGGAUUCACCUUCUCUCACUCUCCUCUUUUCUCCUGUUCUGCCCAAUAAUGUCACGAACUUCUUGCCGUUAUUGGAGUUUAGGUUCCUCUGCCAGCGAUUGGUUGCUGUUCUGUGCGAGUCAUUUAUUCUGUAGAUGUGCUUUUUUUGUUGUGUUUGUGGGAGAGGGCGAGCGUGUCCCCCUACUCCUCCGCCAUCUUGUCCUCCCUCCUCCUUAGUAUAUUUUACAUACCUUGAAACUCAUUACAAAUAGUUACAAUUCCUUGGACAGGCAAGUCUAUUUCUACCACUCAAUUGUUAUCUUUUUGAAGCUGGAGCCUUACUCUUUUCUGCAGUGUCAACCUUAGCUCUUUCUAGUAUAUAAUAGAUCCUGAGUAAAUCAAAUGUGCAAAAUAUACCAAAAGAGACAAAGCUAUUAAAAAAGACAUUGAAUUAGUGUUAGUACACAUGGAUUCUGGUCCUCAUAUUUCUGUGUAUGACCUUGGGCAUGUCAUUUCCCCUCUUCUGUGCCCCACUAGUCUUACCUAAAAGAUGAGAUAUUUUCACCUUAAUAUUCACUGUCUUUGUCUCUCUCUCCCUUUUUUUUUUUUUGUCUCUUUAGGGCCACACUCAUAUGGAGAUUCCCAGGCUAGGGUUCUUAGAGCUACAGCUAAUGGCCUACACACAGCCAUAGCAAUGCCAGAUACAAGCUGCAUCUGUGACCUAUACCACAGCUAAUGGCAAUGCUGGAUCCUUAACCAACUGAGCAAGGCCAGAGAUCAAACCCACAACCUCAUGUUUCCUAGUCAGAUUUGUUUCCACUGCACCAUGACAGGAACUCCUAUUCACUGUCUUUGAUUAUAUUUUGUUAACUUCUCUGCAUCAUAAAUAAUCAGAAUUUAAUUUUCAAGGUGUUCAUAUUCAAAAUAAAUUAUACAUGUCCUUUUUCAGUGAACCAGCCUCAUUCCAAGUGCUGUUUUCCUGGGUAUCUCUCCUAUGCCAAUUACUGCUGGACCUUUCCAACAUCCUUCCUUUGAUGCAACUAAGGUGAGUUUUGAAACAUAUCAUAGCAUAUCUCUUGAUGUAUAUGACCAAGAUAUAUACUUAAACAAAAAUUAGUAUUAAUGAUAUAAAUAUUCUAUGCUAGAUUUUGCUCUAAAUUAGUUAUCUCUACUUAUAUUCUCCAGCUACAAAAUAUAUUUCAGGAGUUCCCGUCGUGGCGCAGUGGUUAACGAAUCCGACUAGGAACCAUGAGGUUGCAGGUUCGGUCCCUGCCCUUGCUCAGUGGGUUAAGGAUCCGGCGUUGCUGUGAGCUGUGGUGUAGGUUGCAGACGCGGCUCGGAUCUUGUGUUGCUGUGGCUCUGGCAUAGGCCGGUGGCUGCAGCUCUGAUUAGACCCCUAGCCUGGGAACCUCCAUAUGCUGCCAGAGCGGCCCAAGAAAUAGCAAAAAGACAAAAAAAUAUAUAUAUAUUUCACCCAACUAUCUUAUGUGACACUGGAUGCAAGUAAAAUGAAAAAGGGAAUUGUGCAAUAUGUAAAAAUCUGGUAAGUACUAACAAUGAAAAUGAAUCUGAUGUGUUCCUAACACAAAUCUAUAGGUUAGGUAUUAUGAGCCCCAUUUUAUAGAUGAGGAAACUGAACCUCAGAGUGCUUAGAAGUUGUAGAAACCAAAUUAAUAAUCAAGUAUUUUAAUUUCAAAAUCUAUAAUAUUGAUCAUUACACUACACUGAUCUAAUAUAGAAUUUAAUAGAAUUCAAAGUCUUCCAUGAAAAUUCACCCCUAUAAAAUUCAGACACAUAUUCCAUUUCCAUUCCUUAUCAUUGGAGUUUAGGUGGAAUAAUUUCCCUAUCUGUAAUAUAGUACAUUUGAUUUUAAACUCUAAAUUUAGAAAUAUUUUAACAUAUAUAUAUAUAAAAUAAAAUUAAUGGUAAAAUAAAUAACGCUAUAAAGCAACAUAAAACUAGUACCCAGCUUUUAUAGUUGUCAGUAUUUUGCCAAUCUUUUUCAUCUCUUCUACUCCCCUUCUUUUGGGGAAGAAUUUUAAACCAAACCAAAACAUCAUAUUAUUUCACUCACAAUUACUACUGUUACAUUAGAUUGUAAACAAACUAAAGUGCAGUCAAUAAGCUCAUAUCUAUUCCACUAAUAAUAAUAACCUACCAAAGUACUUCCACAUCUAUUAUCUUACUUGACCAUCAUAAGAGACUUCAGGAGUUCCUGUCAUGGUGCAGUAGAAAUGAAUCUGACUAGAAAUCAUGAGCUUGUGGGUUCGAUCCCUGGCCUCACUCAGUAGGUUAAGGAUCCAGCAUUGCUGUGAGCUGUGGUGUAGGUAGGUCACAGAUGUGUCUUGGAUCUGGCAUUUCUGUGGCUGUGGUAUAGGCUAGCAGCUGUAGCUCCAAUUAGACCCCUAGUGUGGGAGCCUCCAAAUGCCAAGGGUGUGGCCCUGAAAAGACAAAAG